UUUAAGUGCAAUAAUAAGUUCUCGCGUCCAACUUUGAUCGUCCAUCUUAUUUGAAAAAAAAUUUAUAAUUAGUAUUUUUGUUGUUAUGAGAUGAUAAAAUAUGAAUAAUAAUUUACUCGUGACUUAUGUUUUCAAUUUUUUUAAAAAAAUUUAAAUAAGACGGAUGAUCAAAGAUGGACGCGGAAAACCAUGGCUGCACUUAAA
rfam:Oryza glumipatula chromosome 11, whole genome shotgun sequence.